ensembl:lncRNA
CUGGACCCUGACCUCCGACCCUGACCCCCAGGCGACCUCUGGGAGGCAGUGGACCCCACUGGACCCUGACCUCCGACCCUGACCUUUGAACCUGACCCCCUGACCUCCGGGAGGCAGUGGACCCCCACUGGACCCUGACCCCCCCCCCCCAGGUUAUCGGGGCUCAGGACGGCGUCGGCACAAUUUAUGCUUUUAGUGAAUUUAACAAAAUCCUUGAUUGCGUUUUUAUGAAUGACUUUAUUAAUGAAUAGUGUUUUCUACACAGCAGCAGCCGCUGGCCCCUAUCUGCGUGUUUUCUGACGAACAAACCCAAAGGAGAUUUUUUUAAAUGGAACAUUUCGAGGAUCUUCUCUUGUAAAAGGCGGCCUCCAUUUGGACUCUUCUUCUUCUUACCUUCGGUGUACCAGCAACUGACCUCAGCUGACGGACCUCCACUGCGGCAGGAACCCUGACCACGACAAUCUCCCGCCAGCAGGGCGUUCGGUUCUCCGCUGAAAGGUGCUUCGUUCUCUGGAGCCAUGAGCCGCCAUCUCAGCACCGGAGGGACUUUAACGUGCCUUAUUCCUAUCGUAUCAUUAGUAUUACUGCACACACAUACUGGCCCGACGAACGCAGCAUAGGUGCUGGGUCAACGUUCACCGGUCUGACGUCGGAGACACGCUCGAGCCGCCACACGCUGGGAGAGGGAUUAGAGAAGGAACACAAGCUCUUGCAUAUAUUAUUUCUGUACAUAAGGAGGGACAGUAAACACGUAUGAUCAUGCUACACCUUUUCUAACGCAGCCCAGAGGAUUAUCUCAGCUGACGCAUCUUUACUUUUGUAUUUAUUCAGCUGCUGCGGUCGGACUAACUGCGUGUUCUGUGACGGUUCUCUGGGGAACCCGGCCCUACGCCGUCUGUCUCUGGUUCCUGAGGCGUCCCAACGCCUCUGGACCAGACCAGACCUGGUUAGGUUUAGACUAGAGUCUACGGGACCAGACCCUUAAGUCUGGUUUGGUGCUAGAGUGUUCUGGACUAGACCAGACCUGGUUUGGACUAGAGUCUUCUGGACCAGACCAGACCUGGUUAGGUUUAGACUAGAGUGUUCUGGACCAGACCAGACCUGGUUCGGUUUAGACUAGAGUCUUCUGGACCAGACCAGACCUGAUUUGGUUUAGACUAGUCUUCUGGACCAGACCAGAACUGGUUUGGUUUAGACCAGAGUCUUCUGGACCAGACCAGACCUGGUUUGGUUUAGACCAGAGUCUUCUGGACCAGACCAGACCUGGUUUGGUUUAGACUAGAGUCUUAUGGACCAGACCCUUAAGUCUUGUUUGGUGCUAGCGUGUUCUGGACCAGACCAGACCUGGUGUGGGUUUGAUGAACGCCCACCACUUGUGAUGUGAUGACUGCUCUUGUUUCGACGUUGCAUAUAUAUAUAUAUACAUAACUGUAUGUACAUCUAUGUAGAUGCACAACCUGGGUGAAGGACUAUUGUAUAACACUGCAGCUGUUGUUCUCUGUUCCACCUGCAGGGGCGCUAAAAGCUCUCAAGAUUCCUCUACUGUAAUUCACACUACAUCUUACAACCUGUUUGUGGCGGUACAGAUCUGAGCACAGCCUUGAGUAACAACACUUACGUGAACAUGAUGAUGAAUGCACUUUUACGCCAUUGAAAACGCUGACAGAUUGUGUGUUACGGUCAGAAAAUACCCCUUCAGUUGGCUUUUGGUUUCUGUGGAUGAUGUGACGAGGGGCGAAGAGAAG